rnacentral:lncRNA from 1 species
UUCUCACUACUGCUUUUGCCCAGGGCCCCAAUCUGUAUAAUACCCUAUAUAUACAUACCUAUUUUUUUAAAAAAAUAAUAUAUAAUAUAUAUAAAUAUUAUAUUAGGUCCAAACCAAUUAUUGUAAAUUUAAAAACACUUACUUAAUCAUUCAAUUCAAAAUUUAAAAAAAUAAAAUUCAAUAAAGGUCCACUCAUUGUAAA